AUGAUCCCACUAUUUUGGAGGAUGUUGAAUCUUAUUGUGAUAUAUAUAUAUGAAAGUGGAUUUGGAAGAGUGUCAACUUUAUUUAGUGAUGAUUCCACUAUUUCGGAAGAGGUUCCAAUUGAUUAUGAGAACAAAGUUGCUAUCUAUGAUGAUUAUUGUGAUGACUUGUAUGCUAUUAGGAAUAAUGAUAACCAUGAAACUUGUCAUCAUGAUUUUAGUUUUCAAUUGGAUUAUGCCUCACAUGAUAAUUAUUUUGUUGAGUUUGCUCCCACUACUAUUCAUGAGAAGAAAUUUGCUUAUGUGGAGAGUAGUAAAUUUUCUAUGCUUGUAGAUCAUGAAAAGAAUGCUUUAGGUGCUGGUUAUAUUGUUGAAUUCAUUUAUGAUGCUACUGAAAAUUAUUAUGAUGGAGGAACAUAUGCUUGUAGGAAUUGCAAUAAUAUCAAGUUUCCUCUCUAUGUGUUAAAUUUUUUGAAGCUAUGCUUGUUUUACCUUCCUAUGCUAGUUGAUUAUUGUUCCCAUAAGUUGUUUGCUCACAAAAUCCCUAUGCAUAGGAAGUGGGUUAGACUUAAAUGGGCUAGUAAUAUUCUUCAUGAUGCUCUCCUUAUGUCUCAAUUCUUAUCCUUUAUGUGA
rnacentral:rRNA from 1 species